rnacentral:rRNA from 1 species
UACAGAGGUCUCAAGCGUUGUUCGGAUUCAUUGGGCGUAAAGGGUGCGUAGGCGGCGCGGUAAGUCGGGUGUGAAAUCUCGGAGCUCAACUCCGAAACUGCACUUGAUACUGCCUUGCUCGAGUACUGGAGAGGAGAUUGGAAUUUACGGUGUAGCAGUGAAAUGCGUAGAUAUCGUAAGGAAGACCAGUGGCGAAGGCGAAUCUCUGGACAGUUACUGACACUGAGGCACGAAGGCCAGGGGAGCAAACGGG